GCGGUCAUAGUAUAGUGGUAGAACAUAAGCCCUCCAAGCUUAGGACGCGGGUUCGAAUCCCGCUGACCGCA
rnacentral:tRNA from 1 species